AUGUAUGUGGUUCGUAACCAUCCCACACAAAAAAACUAGGAGAUU
rnacentral:ncRNA from 2 species